rnacentral:rRNA from 1 species
GUGGUGAGUUGGCCCGACAUUUGCAAACCCAAGGACCAGGGUGGCCUUGGGAUCUUGUCCUCUCGGCGCAUGAACAUUUCUCUCCUGACCCGAUGGCUCUGGCGCAUCGCUAAUGGGGAAGGAGGCCUCUGGCUUACCAUCAUCCGGAACAAGUACCUUCGGGGCCAGCCACUCACAUUCUGUCAGCGGUCCGGUGGCUCCCAGUUCUAG